AAGAAAAGGGUUUAGGUUUUUUUUUCCCGAACCCUAAUCCCGUUUCUCUGCUCUUCUCGUGCGACAGCGACUCGGGCGACGAAGAAGACAACCCAGGGCACGUCUCCGGCGGUCGACCAAGGCUCGAUCCGAAGGGUUUCUUCACCGGAUUGAGAUCCUCUCGUCAAGAGGGGAAGGUAGACACGAGGAUGGGGCCGAAAUCUGCAAGCAACCGAAACCCUAGAAGCGUUUGAGCCCUCUUCUUCGGUGGUGAGUCCAAGAACACGAAGGAUAAAGGAAAGGAAAGGAUAUAGCAAGGGAGGUGAAAAGGCGGUGCAGAUGGUGCGUGAUGUCAGGACUGUGGGAGAGAACUAGGAAGUUUUGCGUUUUCGUGUUUAGUGGAUAAGAAGUAAUUGAGUUGUACUAUAUGGUCGAUGUCAUUGAGACUGUAUUUUAUAUUCUAUGUUCCUAUUUAGUUUAUUUGUGUUUUAGUUUGCA